rnacentral:rRNA from 1 species
GUUUGAUCCUGGCUCAGAACGAACGUUAGCGGCGCGCCUAACACAUGCAAGUCGAGCGAGAAAGGGGCAACCCCGGUAAAGCGGCGCACGGGGUGAGUAACACGUAGGUAAUCUACCCCUCGGGUGGAGGAUAACUUUCCGAAAGGAAGGCUAAUACUGCAUGAGACCACGAUUCCGGAAGGGAUUGAGGUCAAAGCCGGCCACUGUACACAAGCUGGCGCCUGAGGAUGAGCCUGCGGCCCAUCAGCUAGUUGGUAGGGUAAUGGCUACCAAGGCGAAGACGGGUAGCUGGUCUGAGAGGAUGAUCAGCCACACUGGAACUGAGACACGGUCCAGACUCCUACGGGAGGCAGCAGUGGGGAAUCUUGCGCAAUGGGCGAAAGCCUGACGCAGCGACGCCGCGUGAGUGAUGAAGG